AGUGAACGCUGGCGGCGUGCUUAACACAUGCAAGUCGAACGAGAACGGGUCUAGCUUGCUAGACUGUCAGCUAAGUGGCGGACGGGUGAGUAAUGUAUAGUUAAUCUGCCCCCUAGAGAGGGAUAACUACUGGAAACGGUAGCUAAUACCUCAUACUCCUUUUACCUUAAUGGUAAUUGGGAAAUGUCUUUUCGCUAGGGGAUGAGACUAUAUGGUAUCAGGUAGUUGGUGGGGUAAGAGCCUACCAAGCCUAUGACGCCUAGCUGGUCUGAGAGGAUGAUCAGCCACACUGGAACUGAGACACGGUCCAG
rnacentral:rRNA from 1 species